UCUGGGGGCGACUCCUACUGUUGUUGCUGAGUGAUAACUGGAUAUGAUGACUGAUUACCUGAGAAAAAACUUGAUGAAAUCUCAAGAAAAUUCCUCUAGAUAGUCAAGUUCUGAUCCAGCUGCAUCACUCA
rnacentral:miRNA from 1 species